GACGAACGCUGGCGGCGUGCCUAAUACAUGCAAGUUGAGCGCUGAAGGUUGGUACUUGUACCAACUGGAUGAGCAGCGAACGGGAGAGUAACGCGUGGAGAAUCUGCCUUUGAGCGGGGGACAACAUUUGGAAACGAAUGCUAAUACCGCAUAAAAACUUAAAACACAAGUUUUAAGUUUGAAAGAUGCAAUUGCAUCACUCAAAGAUGAUCCCGCGUUGUAUUAGCUAGUUGGUGAGGUAAAGGCUCACCAAGGCGAUGAUACAUAGCCGACCUGAGAGGGUGGUCGGCCACAAUGGGAAUUGGACACGGCCCAAACUCCUACGGGAGGGAGCAGUAGGGAAUCUUCGGACAUGGACGAAAGUCUGACCGAGCAACGGCGCGGGAGUGAAGAAGGGUUUCGGAUCGUAAAACUCUGUUGGUAGAGAAGAACGUUGGGGAGGGUGGAAAGCUCAUCAAGUGACGGUAACUACCCAGAAAGGGACGGCUAACUACGUG
rnacentral:rRNA from 1 species